UGAGGAGGAAACCUGCAGCCAGCUGAUCUCCAUGUGACUCUGUGUGUUUGCAUAUGUGUCCUGCCUCUCUGCUCCAGCUGUUAAGAGGUCAGAGUUGAUCAGUGGCUGUCCAGGCCUUUCAGAGCCACUGACACACCAGCAGCACAAUGAUGAUGUCACUGACUCUACUGCUGACCAUCCUGGGGCUCCUGGUUCAGGGUUCAUCAGGAGACAUCAUCCUGACUCAGACUCCUGGAUCUCAGUCUGUUGCUCCAGGACAAACUGUCUCCAUCAGAUGUGAAACCAGUUCAAGUGUUUAUGACAACCUCCACUGGUACCUUCAGAAACCUGCAGAAGCUCCUAAACUCCUGAUCUAUGUAGCUACAACUCUUCAGUCUGGAGUUCCAGCUCGUUUCAGUGGAAGUGGAUCUGGUUCUGAUUUCACUCUGACCAUCAGUGGAGUUCAGGCUGAAGAUUCAGGAGUUUAUUACUGUCAGCAGUUUUAUAGCUCACCGUUCACACAGUGAUAGAACGUCGUACAAAAACCUCCCUCAGCUGGAGAGGAACUGAUCUGACUCAACAGCUGCAAGGAAACUAAAACACUGAACGUUUCCA